GUGGGGAAUCUUCCACAAUGGACGAAAGUCUGAUGGAGCAACGCCGCGUGAGUGAAGAAGGGUUUCGGCUCGUAAAGCUCUGUUGUCGGGGACGAAUGUGCAGUAUUUGAAUAAGUGCUGCAAUGACGGUACCUGACGAGGAAGCCACGGCUAACUACGUGCCAGCAGCCGCGGUAAUACGUAGGUGGCAAGUGUUGUCCGGAAUUAUUGGGCGUAAAGGGAGCGCAGGCGGGAAGGUAAGUCGGUCUUAAAAGUGCGGGGCUCAACCCCGUGAUGGGAUCGAAACUAUCUUUCUUGAGUGCAGGAGAGGAAAGUGGAAUUCCUAGUGUAGCGGUGAAAUGCGUAGAUAUUAGGAGGAACACCAGUGGCGAAGGCGACUUUCUGGACUGUAACUGACGCUGAGGCUCGAAAGCCAGGGGAGCGAACGGGAUUAGAAACCCGUGUAGUCC
rnacentral:rRNA from 1 species